AGCCAGUUUGAAACCUGGACCUGUCCUACCUGGGUCUGGUUCCAGACAUCCCAGAACCUUCUAAUCAGGAACAGGACUCACACUCCCCAUCUCAGACCAGUUCUGCUAUGAGAUACGAGACCCAUUGCCCAUCCUUUUCUCAGUCCACUGGUCGACAGGGUCCACCAGAGAUUGUUGAGAACUCUCCAUCCCCUACCAACAUGAAGAAGUGGAUGAAACCUGUCGUUGUUCCUCGGCUAGGAGAAGAGGCAGGAAUCUACUAUGAGUGAUACAGAAAAUAUCUCAUAUGGAAGGAGUAAGAUUGCUGCCAAGAAUGCUGUCCCUGGUAUUGCAACAAGACCAUUGAAUGAACUUGUCAAUGAACUACCAUCCACAACAACGGGCAGCAGUUGGAAGGGCUAGAUGACAAACUCGACCAUCCCAAGACCGUACCUAAUAGUACAGUGCAAUC